rnacentral:lncRNA from 1 species
GAAUGCUACUGAUGCAUUGUCAUUACUUAUAUGCUUGUAGGUUAAACUUUCAAUAUCCUGAAACAUAUGUGGAAAGGCAUCAGUGGGGCAGGCUUUGUUCCUGUGGACCGGAAAUCCUCGAUUGAUCUCAAAGUCCGAGAGGACCUGAGAGUUCGAAAAUCCUCGAUUGAUCUCAAAGUCCGAGAGGACCUGAGAGUUCGAAAAUCCUCGAUUGAUCUCAAAGUCCGAGAGGACCUGAGAGUUCGAACAAUUAGAGCAGCUGAGACCGACUUGACACUGAUGUACAGCCUUGAAGAUUCGGAACCUCGAGAGUUCGGCAUGGAAGCCCGAGCUGGAGC